UGGGGAAUAUUGGGGCAAUGGGGCGCAAGCCUGACCCAGCAACGCCGCGUGAAGGAAGAAGGCUUUCGGGUUGUAAACUUCUUUUGUCAGGGACGAGCAGAAGACGGUACCUGACGAAUAAGCCACGGCUAACUACGUGCCAGCAGCCGCGGUAACACGUAAGGUGCGAGCGUUGUUCGGAAUCAUUGGGCGUAAAGGGCAUGUAGGCGGUCUGUCAAGCCAGGCGUGAAAAGCCAGGGGCUCAACCCCUGAACUGCGCUUGGAACUGGCGGACUGGAGUCGCUGAGGGGGAACCGGAAUUCCUGGUGUAGGGGUGAAAUCUGUAGAUAUCAGGAAGAACACCGAUGGCGAAGGCAGGUUUCCAGCAGACGACUGACGCUGAGGUGCGAAGGUGCGGGGAGCAAACAGGAUUAGAUACCCUGGUA
rnacentral:rRNA from 1 species